rnacentral:misc_RNA from 1 species
CCAGAAGGUCCAAUGCCCUUGCAAAAAAAAAAAAAAAUCAAAAUCUGGCAUUUUCAAAACCGUGCAAAUCGCUGACCCUGUUCAUAUGCUUUCUCAUUAUCGCCACUUUAGCCAAGUUCUCCGCAGCUCGCCACGCCGAUGUCGGCGUAAGAAGCUCUACCUUCUCCUCCGCUUGUUGACUCCCCUUCUGCCUCUGACUCCACACCACCUGCUGCCUUCGCCGAUGCAGCUCUUCCAGCUCCGCCUCUAACCUUCUCAGGUGCUCGAUAGCCGAGCAAUCACUCGAUUGCAUCAACAAUGCUUGAGCUGAUGAUAACAAAUGAUAAGCUCCAGAUAAAUCAUUAUGAUCCAUUAAUCGCCGAGAUUCAGCCACUGCUCUUAUUGUGAUGUGGAGGUCCCUCAGCCGUUGGAUAUGUGGCACUGAUGAUCGAACGGCUUGAGCUCGAGGUAUUAUCAGGGCUUUUUCCUUGGAUAAGACUGGCUCCUGUGACGAUGGGUCUCUAAACGAGGACCGUACGGAUAACAAGUGGUGGCCCUCGGUGGAAGAAGCCGGCACUUUCAAUUCUAUGAGUAGUUCUCUCUCUUCCUCGGCGUGAAGAUCCCCGAGCCGGACCGAACCGGGUCCAAAAACACUGGGCCGACCUGUGAGUGAAUAAACCGCUGCUAUUUGUGCAGGAGCUGAACCGGAAAUAAAGCCGAGUUGAAGUUUCAGAUCUUGAACCACAACGCUUAACAAUCUACCUGCGCACUUGGCCAAUGCAUCCGCAGGUGGCGAGUUCUUGCACGCGCUUAUGUCUCCCAGGCCAAUGGAAUGCACAGGAAUUGCCAAGUGAGAAAAUCGGGUAGAUGACACCAUCCUUGAUGAACGCUUCUGAGCAAAGGAGUUAGAGUAGGACCGGUCAUCUUGACCGUUGGAAAUGAUGAUGAUGCUGGCAACGGGAUUCUUCUCUCGGCGAUCUUCAAUCACUUUCGCGGCCUUUUUAAGCCCGUCGUGAGCACUCAUACCUCGACCGGUACUCUGCAGCGCCUCCACAAUCCGACGUGCAGACCUUCGUCCUUCGGCUGUCAUCCUCCUCAACGGCAACAACCGCUUGGACGUGGCUGAAAACACCACAAUCGACAACCGAUCAUUGGAAUUCAGAGAAGAUAUUAGCAGUCGCAUCACGCAUUUCAUCAUUUGUGAUUUUACCCUGCAUAUCAUCUCACUCACGUCCAGAACCGUCACCAAAUCAAUAGGCAGGCGGCGCGCCGCUGAAGGCGGUGGUGCUUUCACCUUCAGCACAACGACUUGCGUCUGGGAACUCCUCCCAACCGUUAGCAACGCAGAGUCCGGCAACAAACUGACCUCCACAUUUUUAGCAUUUACCUUGACAUGAUUACUAACUUUAACUGGACGUGGAUUCACAAAAAACCCUUGAAACUCUUGAGCUGUGUUCUCGUCAUCAUCUUCGACGUCGGUUUCUUCCAAUUCAGGUAUAGGAUUGAAGAGAGAACCGGAAGAAGGAGACAUGAGAGGCUCAUCGUCGUUGUAGAUUCUCAAGUUCUUGAUUUUUGAAAGUUCUUUGAGCUUUUCGUCUACUUUCUUGAUUUCUGGUUUGUGGUGGAUAGAGAGCAAAGGUAGUUCUUUCCACGUGGCGCUGCAAACAGGGCAGAUAAGGAGCUGCUGCUUCUUCAUGUGUGCAGCUACGCAAGAGAAGUGGAACACAUGGCUGCAUUCCGCUGUGAAAAUAGCUGUUCCUUGCCCACUUUUCACGCUCUGCAAGCAGAUUCCGCAUCUAGUUUUGGAGAGGCGGAGGCUGGCUUUGAGAAGAGAGAAGCUGGGGGGUGAUUUAGGGGAGGAGGAAUUGGAGAAGUGGAAUAUUCUGGGGCUGAUGCAUUUUUUGAUAGUUGCAGUUUUGCAUUGAAGUUUUGGGCUGUCGGGUACUGAUGAUGUAGGAGUUGUAGCUGUGGUUGUUCGGCACCAGAGACCUGGGCUAGAUACCGAUUGAGAUUUUAAACGGGGUGUUGAUGGGUUGGAGAAAAAUCCAAACUUGGAGCUUAUUCUUGGGCUAUGGGUACUGGGGGUGGUGGUGGUGGUAUUGCUGUUGCCAUGUUGUUGCUUUUUUUGUUGCUGCUUCUCUGUGAAUACAGUGGUUUCUCGCUCUUUAGGAAUGGAUGUGCAAAACGCCCUUUUCCAACCAGUCACCAUUGUCAAAAAGAAAACUCAACAAGACUGUAUCUUUUCUUCUCUGAGUCUCUGGUCUCAAUGGGUUGUUUGUGGAAGGAUUUGAUAAGGGUCAAAUGGAUUGAGCAUGGAGGAGAGAAGAGGUGAGAGUAAGACAAGAGAAGUAGACGCAGAGAGGUUUGUUUUGUUUUUCUCGUUCUUUCUAUUUCUCUUGUUCUGUUGCUGUGUUCUUUCUAUCUUUCUCUUUCGAUGGCUUCCAAAAUAUCACUGAUAUGAAAAGCUCUCACUGUAGCUGCCAAAAUUUUGAAACCCCUCUCU